UAAAAUUUAAUUUUUAAGUAUUUGAGUAGUAUUAGUUAAGUUCUUGAAAUUUAAAAGAUUUGGCGGUAUUUUAGUCUAUUCAGAGGAACCUGUUUUUUAAUCGAUAAUCCACGAUGUAUCUUACUUUGACUUGUUUAUUAUUUACAGUAUAUAUAUCGUUGUUUAUAGAAUAUUUUUUAAGAAUAGUAAUGUUCUUAAUUUUUUAGAUAAAUUAUAUCAGAUCAAGAUGUAGCUUAUGUCGAAGAUUACAAUGGGUUACAUUUAUUUUAUUAUUGGAUUUAGAGCUGUAAUUGUUCUAUUGAAAUUGGAUUUGAAAGUAAAUUUAUAUAGAUUAAUAAAUUGAUUAUAGCUCUAAAAUAUG
rnacentral:rRNA from 1 species